GGGAAGAACAAGUGCAAGAGUAACUGCUUGCACCUUGACGGUACCUAACCAGAAAGCCACGGCUAACUACGUGCCAGCAGCCGCGGUAAUACGUAGGUGGCAAGCGUUGUCCGGAAUUAUUGGGCGUAAAGGGCUCGCAGGCGGUUUCUUAAGUCUGAUGUGAAAGCCCCCGGCUCAACCGGGGAGGGUCAUUGGAAACUGGGAAACUUGAGUGCAGAAGAGGAGAGUGGAAUUCCACGUGUAGCGGUGAAAUGCGUAGAGAUGUGGAGGAACACCAGUGGCGAAGGCGACUCUCUGGUCUGUAACUGACGCUGAGGAGCGAAAGCGUGGGGAGCGAACAGGAUUAGAUACCCUGGUAGUCCACGCCGUAAACGAUGAGUGCUAAGUGUUAGGGGGUUUCCGCCCCUUAGUGCUGCAGCUAACGCAUUAAGCACUCCGCCUGGGGAGUACGGUCGCAAGACUGAAACUCAAAGGAAUUGACGGGGGCCCGCACAAGCGGUGGAGCAUGUGGUUUAAUUCGAAGCAACGCGAAGAACCUUACCAGGUCUUGACAUCCUCUGACAACCCUAGAGAUAGGGCUUUCCCUUCGGGGACAGAGUGACAGGUGGUGCA
rnacentral:rRNA from 2 species